CCGGUCAAUCUAAGGGAGACCUACCACAGCUGGAGUUAGCCAUAGGUCAAUUAUGUGCUCUACGGAAUAGCAGGCAAUAUGGACCUGUCUUAAAUUCCUGUCGGCUGAAUGGGUAUAUAUUCAUCAUUGCUGGGAACAGCUCAUGAUUUCCUGGGAUACCAAGAAGAGCAAGAAGAGUAAAUUCAAGUUUUUAAAACAUUCUACAUUUGGAGAAUGGCUUGAAAACACCAUAUGUUUUUACUGUUUUAUCCAAAAGUCUACUGCUUUCUCAGAAGAAUUCUAGCACCAUCCACAAGCAUAAUGACACGUGCAACUCAAUGCAAUACAGCAGGUUGCUUGCAGUGGGACACGGGUAUUUGUGGGUUGCCACACAACAGACUGAGUCUCCUAUCAAAUUACAGCUUUUAGUCCACAAGGUAAAGAGAGAAAAGUUAUACUUCUUUAGCUGUACCUUGUUGUUUCAUCACUAAAGGCACCUUUCUCAUCUCUCACUGGCAAUAAACUUAGGUACCACUGUACACUCAGAGCCUCCCAUGAAAGGGGUGCUGUGCC